rnacentral:rRNA from 15 species
GCAUUCCAUAUGUUGGCAAAAUGUAAAACGACUGAAGCCAAUAAGGGUAAGUGGAUGUAAAUGCUGGCAGAGCUGGGAAUCUUUUGUAUUGACUCGCCAUCAACACAAUGAGAAUUUGCU